rnacentral:rRNA from 1 species
GACGAACGCUGGCGGCGUGCUUAACACAUGCAAGUCGAGCGGUAAGGCCCUUUCGGGGUACGACGAGCGGCGAACGGGUAGGAGUAACAACGUGGGUGGACCUCGCCCUCCAGCUCUGGGAGUAAGACCUCGGGAAACCGGGUACCGUAAUAACUGGAUAUGACUCCAUGACGCAUGUUGGUGGGGUGGAAAGACCUUGUGCGGCUGAGGAGUGGGCCCGGCCGGCCUAUCAGCUUG